CUUUCGGGCACCCCCGGCUCUCACCGGGCCUCCGGACAUGUCAAGGGUAGGUAAGGUUGUUCGCGUUGCAUCGAAUUAAUCCACAUCAUCCACCGCUUGUGCGGGUCCCCGUCAAUUCCUUUGAGUUUUAACCUUGCGGCCGUACUCCCCAGGCGGUCGACUUCACGCGUUAGCUACGGUACCAAGAGAUCUCUCUCCCGACACCCAGUCGACAUCGUUUAGGGCGUGGACUACCAGGGUAUCUAAUCCUGUUUGCUCCCCACGCUUUCGUGCCUGAGCGUCAGUGUCGGCCCAGGGGGCUGCCUUCGCCACCGGUGUUCCUCCGCAUCUCUACGCAUUUCACUGCUACACGCGGAAUUCCACCCCCCUCUGCCGCACUCCAGUCCGCCAGUUUCCAAUGCCGUUCCCAGGUUGAGCCCGGGGCUUUCACAUCAGACACAACGAACCGCCUGCGCACGCUUUACGCCCAGUAAUUCCGAUUAACGCUCGCACCCUACGUAUUACCGCGGC
rnacentral:rRNA from 1 species